rnacentral:rRNA from 1 species
AGGAAGUAAAAGUCGUAACAAGGUUUCCGUAGGUGAACCUGCGGAAGGAUCAUUAUUGAAUAAACUUGGUUGGGUUGUUGCUGGCUUUUCGGAGCAUGUGCACGCCUAGCGCCAUUUUUACCACCUGUGCACUUCUUGUAGAUUUGAAACACCUCUCGAGGAAACUCGGUUUGAGGAUUGCUAUGCGAAAGCUAAGCCUUCCUUGCGUUUCAAGUCUAUGUUUUUAUAUACCCCAUAAGAAUGUUUUAGAAUGUCAUUAAUGGGCUUUAUUGCCUCUAAAUUAAUACAACUUUCAACAACGGAUCUCUUGGCUCUCGCAUCGAUGAAGAACGCAGCGAAAUGCGAUAAGUAAUGUGAAUUGCAGAAUUCAGUGAAUCAUCGAAUCUUUGAACGCACCUUGCGCUCCUUGGUAAUCCGGAGGAGCAUGCCUGUUUGAGUGUCAUUAAAUUCUCAACCCUUUCAGCUUUUGCGAGUUGAAUUGGCUUGGAUUGUGGGGGUUUGCGGGCUUCUCAGAAGUCGGCUCCUCUUAAAUGCAUUAGCGGAACCUUUGUGGACCAGCUUUGGUGUGAUAAUUAUCUACGCCAUGGUUGUGAAGCAGCUUUACAUGGGGUUCAGCUUCUAACUGUCCAUUGACUUGGACAACUUCUGACAUUUUGACCUCAAAUCAGGUAGGACUACCCGCUGAACUUAAGCAUA